rnacentral:rRNA from 1 species
UACGUAGGGCGCAAGCGUUAUCCGGAAUUAUUGGGCGUAAAGAGCUCGUAAGCGGUUUGUCGCGUCUGCCGUGAAAGUCCGGGGUUCAACUCCGGAUCUGCGGUGGGUACGGGCAGACUAGAGUGAUGUAGGGGAGACUGGAAUUCCUGGUGUAGCGGUGAAAUGCGCAGAUAUCAGGAGGAACACCGAUGGCGAAGGCAGGUCUCUGGGCCGAUACUGACGCUGAGGAGCGAAAGCGUGGGGAGCGAACAGG